rnacentral:rRNA from 1 species
GAGUUUGAUCCUGGCUCAGAUUGAACGCUGGCGGCAUGCCUUACACAUGCAAGUCGAACGGCAGCAUGAUCUAGCUUGCUAGAUUGAUGGCGAGUGGCGAACGGGUGAGUAAUACAUCGGAACGUGCCCUGUAGUGGGGGAUAACUAGUCGAAAGAUUAGCUAAUACCGCAUACGACCUGAGGGUGAAAGUGGGGGACCGCAAGGCCUCAUGCUAUAGGAGCGGCCGAUGUYUGAUUAGCUAGUUGGUGGGGUAAAGGCCCACCAAGGCGACGAUCAGUAGCUGGUCUGAGAGGACGAUCAGCCACACUGGGACUGAGACACGGCCCAGACUCCUACGGGAGGCAGCAGUGGGGAAUUUUGGACAAUGGGCGAAAGCCUGAUCCAGCAAUGCCGCGUGUGUGAAGAAGGCCUUCGGGUUGUAAAGCACUUUUGUCCGGAAAGAAAUGGCUCUGGUUAAUACCUGGGGUCGAUGACGUACUGAAGGU